CCUACGGGAGGCAGCAGUGAGGAAUCUUGGUCAAUGGCCGGAAGGCUGAACCAGCCAUGCCGCGUGAAGGUCAGUGCCCUAUGGGCGUUAAACUUCUUUUGUGCGGGAGCAAUAAUGGUCACGUGUGGCCAGACGUGCGUACCGUACGAAUAAGCAUCGGCUAACUCCGUGCCAGCAGCAGCGGUAAUACGGGGAAUGCAAGCGUUAUCGCGAUUUAUUGGGUGUCAAGGGGGCGUAGGCUGUGAGGUAAGUCAGCGGUGAAAUGCCCACGCUCAACGGUGUGAAGUGUCAUUGAUACUGCCUUGCUGGAAUGCGGAUGCCGUGGUAGGAAUGUGUGGUGUAGCGGUGAAAUGCAUAGAUAUCACACAGAACACCGAUUGCGAAGGCAUCUCACGAAUCCGCGAUUGACGCUGAUGCACGAAAGCGUGGGUAUCAAACAGGAUUAGAUACCCUAGUAGUC
rnacentral:rRNA from 1 species